rnacentral:rRNA from 1 species
CCUACGGGAGGCAGCAGUGAGGAAUAUUGGUCAAUGGGCGCGAGCCUGAACCAGCCAAGUCGCGUGAGGGAAGACGGUCCUAUGGAUUGUAAACCUCUUUUGUCGGGGAGCAAAAGACGCUACGCGUGGCGUUCCGCGAGUACCCGAAGAAAAAGCAUCGGCUAACUCCGUGCCAGCAGCCGCGGUAAUACGGAGGAUGCGAGCGUUAUCCGGAUUUAUUGGGUUUAAAGGGUGCGCAGGCGGAAGUUCAAGUGGGCGGUAAAAUUGAGAGGCUCAACCUCGCCGAGCCGUGGAAACCGGUUUUCUUGAGUGAGUGGGAAGUAGGCGGAAUGCGUGGUGUAGCGGUGAAAUGCAUAGAUAUGACGAAGAACUCCGAUUGCGAAGGCAGCAUACCGGCGCUGAACUGACGCUGAUGCACGAAAGUGUGGGUAUCGAACAGGAUUAGAUACCCUUGUAGUC